rnacentral:rRNA from 1 species
CACCCGCGGUUCGAGUGGUAGUCACUUUUAUUGAGCCUAAAGCGUUCGUAGCCGGAUUCGUAAAUCUCUAGGAAAAUCCUUCUGCCCAACAGAAGAAAUUCUGGAGAGACUGCGAAUCUAGGGACCGGGUGAGGUUGAAUGUACUUCUGGGGUAGGGGUAAAAUCCUGUAAUCCUGGAAGGACGACCGGUGGCGAAGGCGUUCAACUAGAACGGAUCCGACGGUGAGGAACGAAGGCUAGGGGAGCAAACCGG